AAAAAAAAAAAAAAAAAAAAAACCCAGGCAGGAUAAACAUAAACAACCAACUUGGGUAUAUCAUAAUGAUACUGACAGCCGAAGAUGAACUGAAGAAUCUUUGGAACAGCCAGAGGAGGUUGGAGAAAAAGACACAUUUCAUUCGGGUGAACAACAAGAGGAACGAAUGCAGGAGUUCCCAUCAUGGCUCAGUGGAAACGAAUCUGACUAGGAUCCAUGAGCACAGGGGUUCGAUCCCUGGCCUCGCUCAGUGGGUUAAGGAUCCAGUAUUGUGACUGCUGUGGUGCUGGUUCAAUCCCUGGCCUGGGAACUUCUGAAUGCCGUGGGAGGAAAAGGAUGGUAUUGCAGAAAAUACAGACCUACGGAGGAAUGAAGACUGCCAAACAUGGACAGGAACGAUCCGCUUGCCCGUGCUGCUGCGUGCCAUUUGUUCCUGUGCCCUCUCAAUGGCAGAUCUGGCCUGUCCAACCACACUGGCAGUUGACACUGUGUCCUCUGGUGGUGUUGGAUCCCAGCCUCCUCCUCUCAGUUGGCCCUAAGCCAUCACAGGACUCAAGCCAGUUCUGUAGGGUCGACCCAACCUCUGACCAAUCAGAACAACGCAGCACUCCUCAGACACAGAGAUGGCUUCAGGGAUAUGCACACAACCUGUUGGGCCACCAGCCGUCUUACCUGGAAUGUUACUGGAGCUACAUCAGAGAAGAGGUGCUUUCUGAUGGAGUUACAGAAUUCCUAGAAUGUAGCUGGGAGCUACUGGGGACCGUCGUUGACACCACCUAGGGAGAGACUGCCCAGUAACAAAGUCAGCUUGGAGGAAAGCAAAGUUCACAGAGAAAGUCCGACUUGUUACAACUUUGAUCCAGUCCUAAAGCCAGCAAUAUACCAGUGGAUUCCUUGGUUUAUAAACCAACAUUUCUUUUAUUGUAUAAGUUGGUAUGAGUUGGUUUUCUGUUGCUUGAAACUUAUACAGCUGGUAAGAAAGCCUGACUGGUAUUUCCUUCUGCUUUACCAGCUGGCUAAACCUCCAGGGAGGAAAUACACCAAAGAAAAGCAAGUUGAGGAGUUCCCACUGUGGCUCAGCGGUAACAAACUCGACUAGUAUCCAGGGACGUUUGAUCCGGCGUUGCCAUGAGCUAUUGUGUAGGUUGCAGACUUGGCUUGAAUCCUGUCGGUGCUGUGGCUGUGGUGUAGGCUGACAGCUGUAGCUCCGAUUAGACCCCUAUCCUGGGAUCUUCCAUAUGACUCGGGUGUGGCCCUAAAAAGGAAAAAAAAAAAGUAAGAAAGAAACACAACCAAUUUCUGUAUGUUAAUCUUGUAUUCUGCUGCUUUGCUGAAUUUGUUUAUCAAUUCUAGCAGUUUUUGUGUGGAGUCUUUCAGGCUUUCUAUAUGUAGUGUCAUAACAUUUGCAUGUAAUGAUCAUUUUACCUCCUCCCUACCAAUGUGAAUAUGUUUUAUUUCUUUCUCUUGUCUGAUUGCUGUGGCUGGGACUUCCAAUACUAGGUCGAAGAGAGGUAGUGACAACGGGCAUCCUUGUCUUACUCCAGACUUUCACGGGAAGGCUUUCUGUUUUCACCACUGAGUAUUAUAUUGGCUGUGGGUGUGUCAUGAAUAGCUUCUAUGAUGUUGAGAUAUGUUGCCUCUCUACCCACUUGCGUAAUGGUUUUUAUCACGAAUGGAUGUUGAGUUUUAUCAGAUGCUUUUUCUGCACCUAUUGAGAUAAUCAUGUGGGUUUUGCCUUUUCUUUUGUGAUGUGGCGAAUCGCAUUGAUUGGCUUGAGUAUGUUGAACCAUCCUUGUGACCCUGAGAUGAACCCCACUUUGUCGUGGUGUAUGAUCUUUUUUAAUGUGGGUUGGAUUCUGUUUGCCAAUGUUUUGUUGAAGAAUAUUCAUCAAAGUUAUUGGCCUGUAAUUUACUGUUUUUGGUAUUGUCUUUGUCUGGUUUUGGUGUCGGGGUGAUGGUAGCUUCAUAGAAUGCUCUUUUGAGUAUUCUUUCCUCUUCAGGCUUUUGGAAGAGUUUGAAAAAGAUUAGCAAUCCUGAAAAAACAAAGCAAGAGGCAUAACCCUCUGAUACUUCAGACAAUACUACAAAGCUACAGCAAUCAAAACAACAUGGUAUUGGCAUAAAACAGACAUAUGGAUCAAUGGAACAGAAUAGAGAGCUCAGAAAUAAACCCACAAAACCAUGGACA
ensembl:lncRNA